UCUAUACAAACCGCACCCAAUAAAAAACCGGUGUGCCUUUUCGCACAUCUUUGUGACAUGUAGAUCUGUGGUACAAGGCAAAAAAUAAUAUGCGGUAGUAUAUGGCAAAGAAAUUAGGGAAAUUAUCCAAUAAAACCCUCCCUAGUUUGCUUUUUAGUUGGAGGAAGAGGAGGUAAAGCUACUUUUUUCACACAAUAUGUUUUGGCUUGCCGGAAGUUUUUAGCUCCUAAGACUUCGGUGAUGCUGGUUCACAUAAAGGCGAGGCGAUCACCGCUUCUUUUUUUCGACAAAUAAUGGCUGUUUUAGGCAGAUAUCUGGCCGGAAUUUGCUAGCAAAUUUGCCAGAAUUUUGAGAUUUUGGCAACCAAGUCCCUGGUAAUUUGCGCUUUCACCGAUCUCUUUGUUGAUUAAUUCACUUGCAGUAAAGAGAUGUUUCAUCCUUCUCUUCUUUGGGUAUUGUGUGGGAACAGAAGGGGUGGUGGGGUUCGCCUGAAAAUUGAGAACUCCACAUUAUGGGGCUUGAAUUUGGCAUAUUUUCUGAUCACUGGGGAAUUUGGUUUUCUAGAUCAGUGUCAUUUCUCGUGGUUGAAGGACAUGGCACUCUCUGACACAAGACUUGUCAGUGUUCUUGUAACACGGAUUACAACAAGAUUGAUUAGCAUGGUGUUUGAUUACUUCUGGAUUAGAUGUUGAUUUUCGAUCUUUCUGUUUGAAGUUCACCUCUUAAUGACAUCUAAACCUUGCCUUCCUGGAACUUCAUUUGGGAUUGCGUACUAUGAGACUGUUUAUCUUUUGUUAUAAGGAGGUCACAACUAAUCAUAACCGUUAGGGGUCAAAUUAAAUGGAUUGGGGUGUGUCGUGAAGUUCAAGAAUUUUUUUUUUGAACUUUGAGUCUAGUAAAUGACACUGUUACAAUCCCCCCGAAUUGAAAUCUGAAGGACAUGAGCAUUUGUGACAUCUUUGUACUGAAAGUAAACGGUCUAUUUGUAUGCAUUUCCUAUUUAUUUCUCGGAUGUCAUUUAAAU
rnacentral:lncRNA from 1 species